AUUGAACGCUGGCGGCAAGCCUAACACAUGCAAGUCGAACGAGUGGCGGACGGGUGAGCAAUGUCUGGGAAACUGCCUGACGGAGGGGGAUAACUACUGGAAACGGUAGAUAAUACCGCAUACCAUCGGAUGUGCCCAGAGGGGAUUAGCUAGUGGGUGGGGUAAAGGCUCACCUAGGCGACGAUCCCUAGCUGGUCUGAGAGGGUGACCGGCAAACCUGGAACUGAGACACGGUCCAGACUCCUACGGGAGGCAGCAGUGGGGAAUCUUGCACAAUGGGCGCAAGCCGGAUGCAGCCAUGCCGCGUGUAUGAAGAAGGCCUUCGGGUUGUAAAGUACUGUCAGCGGGGAGGCGUUACCCGCAGAGGAAGCACCGGCUAACUCCGUGCCAGCAGCCGCGGUAAUAC
rnacentral:rRNA from 1 species